AUGAGUUAAGUAUAAACCCCUUUACAAGUAUCAAUUGGAGGGCAAGUCUGGUGCCAGCAGCCGCGGUAAUUCCAGCUCCAAUAGCGUAUAUUAAAGUUGUUGCAGUUAAAAAGCUCGUAGUUGGAUUUCUGUUAAUAAUUUAUAUAUAAUAUUUUAACGAUAUUUAUAUAAUAUUAACAUAAUUCACAUUACUAUUAUUAGUAUGUGAAAUUUUACUUUGAGAAAAUUAGAGUGCUUAAAGCAGGCAUUUGCCUUGAAUACUCCAGCAUGGAAUAAUACAAAAGAUUUUUAUCUUUUUUAUUGGUUCUAAGAUAAAAAUAAUGAUUAAUAGGGACAGUUGGGGGCAUUUGUAUUUAACAGUCAGAGGUGAAAUUCUUAGAUUUGUUAAAGACAAACUAAUGCGAAAGCAUUUGCCAAGGAUGUUUUCAUUAAUCAAGAACGAAAGUUAGGGGAUCGAAGACGAUCAGAUACCGUCGUAGU
rnacentral:rRNA from 1 species